AUUGAACGCUGGCGGCAGGCCUAACACAUGCAAGUCGAACGGUAACAGGAAGCAGCUUGCUGCUUUGCUGACGAGUGGAGGACGGGUGAGUAAUGUCUGGGAAACUGCCCGAUGGAGGGGGAUAACUACUGGAAACGGUAGCUAAUACCGCAUAACGUCGCAAGACCAAAGAGGGGGACCUUAGGGCCUCUUGCCAUCGGAUGUGCCCAGAUGGGAUUAGCUAGUAGGUGGGGUAACGGCUCACCUAGGCGACGAUCCCUAGCUGGUCUGAGAGGAUGACCAGCCACACUGGAACUGAGACACGGUCCAGACUCCUACGGGAGGCAGCAGUGGGGAAUAUUGCACAAUGGGCGCAAGCCUGAUGCAGCCAUGCCGCGUGUAUGAAGAAGGCCUUCGGGUUGUAAAGUACUUUCAGCGGGGAGGAAGGGAGGAAAGUUAAUACCUUUGCUCAUUGACGUUACCCGCAGAAGAAGCACCGGCUAACUCCGUG
rnacentral:rRNA from 1 species